UACGAAGGGGGCUAGCGUUGUUCGGAAUUACUGGGCGUAAAGCGCACGUAGGCGGAUAUUUAAGUCAGGGGUGAAAUCCCAGAGCUCAACUCUGGAACUGCCUUUGAUACUGGGUAUCUUGAGUAUGGAAGAGGUAAGUGGAAUUGCGAGUGUAGAGGUGAAAUUCGUAGAUAUUCGCAGGAACACCAGUGGCGAAGGCGGCUUACUGGUCCAUUACUGACGCUGAG
rnacentral:rRNA from 1 species